ACGACCUUACUUAAACAGGAUCUGUUCUAUAGGCUCGUACCGCUGUAUCCCUUACCAAUAAGGAGGCAAGCACUCAUGUCUGGUUGAUGCAUUCUGACCAGAUCGUUCCUACCUGGUACACUCUGGUGCAGGGUGGCUCGGAGGUUGUCUGACAGACU
rnacentral:snoRNA from 1 species